rnacentral:lncRNA from 1 species
AUGCCUUCCCCGGAGGCCUGCCUCCUUCUCGAGUCGGUGGUGAACACCCAGGCCCAGAAGGCAUCUGGGAUGACCUUUAAAGAAAGCCUGAUGGGUAACGCCUCCCCCGGACUGUUAACAGCCUCAGGCCUUGAUGAGCCCGCUUCCUCCGCUGUGACACGGCGAUGCGCCUCCGCUGUGACACGGCGAUGCGCCUCCGCUGACCGCCCGGGGCGCAUCGUGCGCGCAGCUCGGGGGCAGAAGGCUGCGGAGGGCUGGGGUGGGGUCAGGGCGCCUGCACUAGACAGACGGUGCCUGAAUCCAGGCUGUCGCUCAGGAGCCCCUGCCGCGGUGGGGACUUAGAGACCUCUUCUAAACUUGCUCAGACUGAGCGAAAAGUCCGAAACACCAGGGCGAUUCUAACUGCCUCGCGGGUCGUGAUGAGGAUGGAGAGCGACCACAGCGCCUGGCCACGGCGUAAACGCGCGGGCACACGGAGAGGACAGGACUUCCCGCGGCGGGCUGAAAGGACGCGCGGGAGGACCUGCGGUCUCGGCAAACCCUGCCCUCGGGC